rnacentral:rRNA from 1 species
UACGUAGGGUGCAAGCGUUGUCCGGAAUUAUUGGGCGUAAAGAGCUCGUAGGCGGUUUGUCGCGUCUGGUGUGAAAAUCCAGGGCUUAACCCUGGACCUGCAUCGGGUACGGGCAGACUAGAGUGCGGUAGGGGGAGAUCGGAAUUCCUGGUGUAGCGGUGAAAUGCGCAGAUAUCAGGAGGAACACCGGUGGCGAAGGCGGAUCUCUGGGCCGUAACUGACGCUGAGGAGCGAAAGCAUGGGGAGCGAACAGG